rnacentral:rRNA from 1 species
CCUACGUGUGUCAGCAGUAGGGAAUCUUGCACAAUGGGCGAAAGCCUGAUGGAGCAACGCCGCGUGAGUGAAGAAGGUCUUCGGAUCGUAAAACCCUGUUGUUAGAGAAGACAGUUCGUGAGAGUAACUGUUCACGAUUCGACGGUAUCUAACCAGAAAGCCACGGCUAACUACGGGCCAGCAGCCGCGGUAAUACGUAGGUGGCAAGCGUUAACCGGAGUUAUUGGGCGUAAAGGGAACGCAGGCGGUCUUUUAAGUCUAAUGUGAAAGCCUUCGGCUUAACGGGAGUAGUGCAUUUGAAACUGGGAGACUUGAGUGCAGUAGAGGAGAGUGGAAGUCCAGGUGUAGCAGUGAAAUGCGUAGAUAUCUGGAAGAACACCAGUGGCGAAGGCGACUCUCUGGUCUAUAACUGACGCUGAGGUUCGAAAGCGUGGGUAGCAAACAGGAUUAGAUACCCUUGUAGUC